rnacentral:rRNA from 1 species
AGAGUUUGAUCCUGGCUCAGAACGAACGCUGGCGGCGUGCCUAACACAUGCAAGUCGAACGGGAAAACCCGCAAGGGUGAGUACAGUGGCGCACGGGUGCGUAACACGUGGGUAAUCUGCCCAGAAGCCCGGAAUAACUCCCCGAAAGGGGUGCUAAUGCCGGAUGAGACCACGGGGACUUCGGUUCCUGGGGGAAAAGGUGGCCUCUGUAUACAAGCUAUCACUUCUGGAUGAGCCCGCGGCCCAUCAGCUAGUUGGCGGGGUAAUGGCCCACCAAGGCUACGACGGGUAGCUGGUCUGAGAGGACGAUCAGCCACACUGGAACUGAGACACGGUCCAGACUCCUACGGGAGGCAGCAGUGGGGAAUCUUGCGCAAUGGGCGAAAGCCUGACGCAGCAACGCCGCGUGUGUGAUGAAGGUCUUCGGAUCGUAAAGCACUGUCGGGAGGGACAAAUAAGGGCCGGGUGAACAAUCCGGUCCGACGACGGUACCUCCAGAGGAAGCACCGGCUAACUCUGUGCCAGCAGCCGCGGUAAUACAGAGGGUGCUAGCGUUGUUCGGAAUUAUUGGGCGUAAAGCGCGUGUAGGCGGCCGGCCAAGUCGGAUGUGAAAGCCCUCGGCUUAACCGAGGAAGUGCGUUCGAUACUAGCUGGCUUGAGUACCGGAGAGGGUGGUGGAAUUCCCGGUGUAGAGGUGAAAUUCGUAGAUAUCGGGAGGAACACCAGCGGCGAAGGCGACCACCUGGACGGAUACUGACGCUGAGACGCGAAAGCGUGGGGAGCAAACAGGAUUAGAUACC